GAAUUUGUGUCGCCAGGCAUGAUGGAGCCAACGUUGAAAUACCACCCUGGUGUGUUUGAGGUUCUAACCUAGGUCCAUUAUCUGGAUCGGGGACAGUGCAUGGUAGGCAGUUUGACUGGGGCGGUCUCCUCCCAAAGCGUAACGGAGGAGUUCGAAGGUACGCUAGUUACGGUCGGACAUCGUGACGAUAGUGCAAUGGCAUAAGCGUGCUUAACUGCGAGACUGACAAGUCGAGCAGAG
rnacentral:rRNA from 1 species